ACAUCCAGGCAAAUCCGGAUGUCAUAUGUCUGAGAGGUGAUGCAUAGCCGAGUGAGGCGAAUUCGGUGAUCCUAUGCUGCCAAGAAAAGCCUCUAGCGAGUGCACACACGGCCCGUACCCCAAACCAACACAGGUGGUCAGGUAGAGAAUACCAAGGCGUACGAGUGAACUAUGGUUAAGGAACUCGGCAAAAUACCCCCGUAACUUCGGGAGAAGGGGGGACCCCAACACCGUCAUGGCCUUUUCGGCCGGCAGCGGGAUGGGGUGGCACAAACCAGUGAGAAGCGACUGUUUACUAAAAACACAGGUCCGUGCGAAGUCGCAAGACGAGGUAUACGGACUGACGCCUGCCCGGUGCUGGAAGGUUAAGAGGACCCGUUAACCCCUCGGGGUGAAGCGGAGAAUUUAAGCCCCAGUAAACGGCGGUGGUAACUAUAACCAUCCUAAGGUAGCGAAAUUCCUUGUCGGGUAAGUUCCGACCUGCACGAAUGGCGUAACGACUUCUCAACUGUCUCAACCAUAGACUCGGCG
rnacentral:rRNA from 1 species